rnacentral:rRNA from 1 species
CAAGAUUACCCGCUGAACUUAAGCAUAUCAGUAAGCGGAGGAAAAGAAAAUAACAAUGAUUACCUCAGUAGCGGCGAGUGAAGAGGUAAAAGCCCAAGAUGUUAAUCUGCAAUAAAGUUGUAGAAUUGUAAUCUAUAGAAUUUCUCAGAAAGGGAGACUUGUCAUAAGUUCUUUGGAACAGGGCACCAUAGAGGGUGAAAGUCCCGUCUUUGGAUAGGUCGAACUGUAUGAGUGAUUUCUAAGAGUCGGGUAGUUUGGGAAUGCUGCCCUAAGCGGGAGAUAAACUUCUCCUAAGGCUAAAUAUAAGAUAGGAGACCGAUAGC